GGUCCUAUGGCCUAAUGGUAAGGCGUUGCUUUCCGGUUGUGUUUACCAGCUGGCAAAGAUUCUGGGUUCGAAUCCCAGUGGGAUCG